rnacentral:sRNA from 1 species
UGUAAUAAAAUGUAACAGCGAAUGAUGA